GAUGAACGCUGACAGAAUGCUUAACACAUGCAAGUCAACUUGAAUUUGGGUUUUUAACUUAGAUUUGGGUGGCGGACGGGUGAGUAACGCGUAAAGAACUUGCCUCACAGCUAGGGACAACAUUUAGAAAUGAAUGCUAAUACCUGAUAUUAUGAUUUUAAGGCAUCUUAGAAUUAUGAAAGCUAUAAGCACUGUGAGAGAGCUUUGCGUCCCAUUAGCUAGUUGGAGAGGUAACAGCUCACCAAGGCGAUGAUGGGUAGCCGGCCUGAGAGGGUGAACGGCCACAAGGGGACUGAGACACGGCCCUUACUCCUACGGGAGGCAGCAGUGGGGAAUAUUGGACAAUGGACCGAGAGUCUGAUCCAGCAAUUCUGUGUGCACGAUGAAGUUUUUCGGAAUGUAAAGUGCUUUCAGUUGGGAAGAAAUAAAUGACGGUACCAACAGAAGAAGUGACGGCUAAAUACGUGCCAGCCGCCGCCGUAACAC
rnacentral:rRNA from 1 species